GGAUUAGAUACCCUGGUAGUCCACGCCCUAAACGAUGAUCACUAGGUGUUGGAGAAGCGAUUUUCCUGUACCGAAGCUAACGCGUGAAGUGAUCCGCCUGGGGAGUACGGUCGCAAGAUUAAAACUCAAAGGAAUUGACGGGGACCCGCACAAGCGGUGGAUGAUGUGGAUUAAUUCGAUGCAACGCGAACAACCUUACCUACCCUUGACAUGUCCGGAAGCCUGCUGAAAGGCGGGUGUGCUCGAAAGAGAACUGGAACACAGGUGCUGCAUGGCUGUCGUCAGCUCGUGUCGUGAGAUGUUGGGUUAAGUCCCGCAACGAGCGCAACCCUUGUCCUUAGUUGCUACGCAAGGGCACUCUAAGG
rnacentral:rRNA from 1 species